GAAAUGCGAUAAGUAAUGUGAAUUGCAGAAUUCAGUGAAUCAUCGAAUCUUUGAACGCACAUUGCGCUCCCUGGUAUUCCGGGGAGCAUGCCUGUUCGAGCGUCAUUAUCAACCAUCAAGCUCUGCUUGGCAUUGGAUGCCGUCCCCCGUGGACGCGUCUUAAACCCUUUGGCGGCGGUUACAAACCUCAAGCGUAGUAGAAAUCCUUAGCUUUCUAGGUUGUGGCCGCUCUGCCUCGAGAACAUCUCACCUCAAGGUUGACCUCGGAUCAGGUAGGGAUACCCGCUGAACUUAA
rnacentral:misc_RNA from 1 species